rnacentral:rRNA from 1 species
UGAGUAAUAUGUCGGAACGUUACCUUCAGGUGGGGAUAACGUAGCGAAAGUUACGCUAAUACCGCAUAUUCUGAGAGCAGGAAAGCAGGGGAUCGCAAGACCUUGCGCUGAUUGAGCGGCCGAUAUCAGAUUAGCUAGUUGGUGAGGUAAAGGCUCACCAAGGCGACGAUCUGUAGCGGGUCUGAGAGGAUGAUCCGCCACACUGGAACUGAGACACGGUCCAGACUCCUACGGGAGGCAGCAGUGGGGAAUUUUGGACAAUGGGCGCAAGCCUGAUCCAGCCAUGCCGCGUGAGUGAAGAAGGCCUUCGGGUUGUAAAGCUCUUUCGGCCGGGAAGAAAUCGCACGGGUUAAUACCCUGUGUGGAUGACGGUACCGGAAUAAGAAGCACCGGCUAACUACGUG